GCGCGCGUGCGGCCACCCAGCGCACCGGCCAGCGCGGCCGUGCGGCCACCUGAGGCCGGCCCCCGCAGCCCAGGCGGCCUCCUCUCCUCUCCUUUGCGGACCGGCCGUCGACAGCCCUCCUCCUCCCAUGCGCCAGACAGCGGGGCGGACAUGUGUAUGAAGGCCAGAGUCAAAUGAAGAAAGGAUUUUGAAAGAAGAACUCAGUCUUCUCGAGAAAAUGAAAGAGACUGAGGCUAAUAAAACUGAUGAUUCGGACCAAACUGCCCCUGAGGAUGCAAAAGAUUUGUCUCAGAAGAUAGCUCAGAUGGAAAAGCAGCUUGAGUUGCUUACUAUUGAGGUGGAUGACAAAGUUAGAUUUGGGACCUGGUUCUGGAGUUGGCAGGGUUUCAACAGUUCCACCAGCUUGAAUAAAUUAUGUGGGGAACUAUAUAACUUUUGAUGUAAUUUAAGACAUGUAUGGUUUGGUCCGAUAAAAAUUAGUAAACUACUACCUUUUAUGUGGACUUUUUAUGUGUGGACUUACUACUACUUUAAAUGAUGAUCUUGUUAUGUGUGGA